UGUUGAUAUACAGGGUGUAUCAAUAAAAACGCAACCUCGGAAUUUCCUAAGAAAUCACUUUGCAAUUCUUAAGCAUAAAAGAUUUUAGGCCCCUGGGAAUUGAAAUCGAAUUGCUAAUAGAUCAUAUUACUGUUGUUUUGCAUUAAAUAAAUGCAUAAAUUUUGCUUUAUGCACUCGCGUGUGCAGUAAUUUUGACAGUUAUGCUAUUUUAAAUUCCCAGGCGCCUUAAAUCUUUUGUCUUUAAAACAAUGUCGAUUUCUUGGGAAAUUCCGAGGUUGCGCUUUUUUUGAUACACCCUG